rnacentral:pre_miRNA from 1 species
GUAAGUAAAGUUGAAACAAGGCGUUGUUUUGUAAAGUAGACACAGAAAGUUUUUCUGUGUCUACUUUACAAAACAACGCCUUGUUUCAACUUUACUUUCU